AUUGAACGCUGGCGGCAUGCUUUACACAUGCAAGUCGAACGGUAACAGGCCUUCGGGUGCUGACGAGUGGCGAACGGGUGAGUAAUGCAUCGGAACGUACCCAGAGGUGGUGGAUAACGCAGCGAAAGCUGUGCUAAUACCGCAUGUGAUCUGAGGAUGAAAGCGGGGGACCGAGCAGCAAUGUUUGGCCUCGCGCCUUUGGAGCGGCCGAUGUCGGAUUAGCUAGUUGGUGGGGUAAAGGCCUACCAAGGCGACGAUCCGUAGCUGGUCUGAGAGGACGACCAGCCACACUGGGACUGAGACACGGCCCAGACUCCUACGGGAGGCAGCAGUGGGGAAUUUUGGACAAUGGGCGCAAGCCUGAUCCAGCAAUGCCGCGUGCGGGAAGAAGGCCUUCGGGUUGUAAACCGCUUUUGGCAGGAACGAAACGGUGUCCGCUAAUACCGGGCGCUAAUGACGGUACCUGCAGAAUAAGCACCGGCUAACUACGUG
rnacentral:rRNA from 1 species